rnacentral:rRNA from 1 species
UGAGUAACCUGCCCUCAGCUUUGGGAUAACCCUCGGAAACGGGGGCUAAUACCGGAUAUGACGCGCUACUGCAUGGUGGUGUGUGGAAAGUGUUUGCGGCUGGGGAUGGGCUCGCGGCCUAUCAGCUUGUUGGGUGGGGGUGAUGGCCUACCAAGGCGACGACGGGUAGCCGGCCUGAGAGGGCGACCGGCCACACUGGGACUGAGACACGGCCCAGACCUCCGUACGGGGAGGCA